AGGAAUGCGGUGCCCCCCCGGAGACCUAAUCAUUGAGAAUUUUACAUGGAUCUCAUUAGAAUCAUCAAACUUCAUUUACUGGCUACAGCAGCAGUUACAAGCGUUCAUCAAGCUCCACAACCAGAAGAAAACUCCCACUCUAAGGUCCCCUGCACUUACAGUUGACUCGUUCACACUGUCACGCGAUGGUAUUCAACACUGUGAAUCUUAAAGCUACAGCCAACAUAUUCCUUAAAGCUACAAUUGCUACAGCAAUCAACUAACUGAUGUUUGAAGUUUUCUACUGUGUCAGAACCGGACGUCAUUAUGCACAGAUAAAACUCCCACAAACAGCAAUAUGAAAAUGAUCAGAUAUUUUGUUUUGGUGAUGUUGAUUUUUGGAUAAAAAUCGCCACGGAUGCCAGGAA